rnacentral:rRNA from 1 species
UGGGGGAUAUUGGACAAUGGGGGGAACCCGUCGAUCCAGCGACGCCGCGUGAGUGAAGAAGUAUUUCGGUAUGUAAAGCUCUAUCAGCAGGGAAGAAAGAAAUGACGGUACCUGAGUAAGAAGCCCGGCUAACUACGUGCC